ACUUAUUAUCAUUAGACAAAACAAUAAACACCUUGUGUGCACCACUCGACGACAUUUGAGAUUUACUGUCUUUCAAAACAUCAAACCUCCGACGCUAAACUAUUCUAACACAACUAGGAAAUCAAAACUAAAUAGGAAAAAAAAAAAGAAGAAGAGAGAGAUAUGCAUCAGAUACGCUUCGGAUUCAAAGGGUGAAACAAACCCUAAACUAUUCUAACAC
rnacentral:lncRNA from 1 species